AUUUAAUAUUUUAUAGUUCUUAAAGUGGUGAAAUAAUAAAAACCCUUAUUAAAACUAAUAAAAAACCAUGGGAUUGUCAUACUAAGAAAACCAUUCAACGGUGGAGAUUGGUAAAGUUGAUGAAGUGUGAUGGAUUGCACAAACAUUAUUACAAUCAAUUAGUUGAAGUUGUGAAGUAGAAAUGUAGAAUAUAGUUCGGACCCGACACUUUGGAACUACCCAUCAAGCAAGGGCAUAAGUUGGACUGGUAUGCAGAUAAGACCACACUAACCAGUGUGGGGACGGCACCGAUUGAGAGACGUCAGGGUGCCACCGAGGCCGGCCACUCCGCCACGCGGCAUGUUCCAAGCCACUAGAAAAUUGUACACCAGCUUAUCUUUCCCAUCAAAUAAAGUUGUCUGCGUCUUUGGGCUAAUCUACAGGCACAAGUACCUGCCACGCGAUAACAGACCAAUAGAUUUUGACCAAAGUUUUUAAAAAAUACUGACCAGUUAUAUGUUACAGCACGUAAAGUUAUGUGCAUAAAAUAUAACUCCAUGUGGUGGCAGCUGGUGUUGUUUGAAAUAUUUCACAACGUUGCCCCUUCUAUAAAGUGUGUGCAUAUAUAUAUAGUCUUUCGUGGACGUUUAUAUUUUUUUAAAAAUAUAAAUAAAGAUUUUACGCUAUUGUCAAAAACAUUUUGACAAAUAAUUUUUCAACACUUUAUAAUAAUAUAAAGGGUAAAAACUUGUUUAGUCCCUAUAUUUUGAGCUUAGUACCCAUUUAAUCCCUAUAUUUUUAAGAAUACCUCAAAACAUCCUUACUAUUAAAUAUUGACACUUAUGCCAUUAUUUUUUUUAUUUUUUUUAGCAUGCUUUUGUAAUUUUACACUCUUACAAUAAUGUUUCUUUUUUAGAUAUUAAUAAAAAAAUUAGAUUAUCAAAUUAAACCCAAAAAUAAAAUAAAAAAAUAAAAAAGAUAUAUAUUAAUUUUUGUGGAAGCUCAUGUGUGUCUAAAAAAAAUUAAUUUUGUAAAAAAAUAAGUUAUCAAUUUAAAAAAAAAUUAAUAUUUUAACUUCUUAGCAGACUGUUCCACAAAAAUUAAUAUUGUUUUUAUUUUAUUUUUUGUGUUAAACUGGUAAUUUAAUUUUUCUUUUUAAUAAUGUUUAAAAAAAGAACAUUAUUGUAAUAGGAUAAUAUUGUAAAAAAAAGUUAAAAUGAACAAAAGGUAAUGGCAAGGAUGUCAAUAAUUUAAUGAUAAGGAUACUUUGAGUUAUUUUUAAAAAUAUAGGGACUAAACGGACACUAACCUCAAAAUAUAAGAACUAAACGAGCUUUUACCCUAUUAUAAAGUAUUUAAUAAUGAUCUAAAAUUUUAAAUCCACAUUUUAAAAAAGAUAGACGCACGCAUCUAUAAAUGAUUAUAUUCACGAGAUGAAAUUGAUUCAAUUAUGCAUGCUUUUCAACGUAAUUCAAUCCCAUCAAAUGUGACUCGUUAAAUAGAAUUCAUUGACGAAAUGUAAGAACGGAAUCCUACCCACGUGAACGGUUCUCACAACAUGCUCAUAAAAUUGCAAAUGGCAAGAAGAAAAUGAGAAUGGUUAAUGAACAAAAAACCAAAACCUGGACAAGAAAACAUUUGAGAUCUCAAAAGAAAUCGAAAGUUAGAAAUUUUAGUUGGAACUACACGGAUGUCCAUUGCAAAAUAAUUGUUGUUGUGUCUUCUCUCCAAUGUCUUUAAUUGUUGUCACAUCCUCUAAUUUUAUCAUCGAU
rnacentral:lncRNA from 1 species